rnacentral:lncRNA from 1 species
GGAACACUCAGGAGAUGGCACCCCACUGGAGGAAGUGUUGAAGUUACCAAGUAAAUACCUGUUGCUUACACUGCUGCCCCCACUUUCAGGGCGAGCCCCCUACAACCCUGGUUAGGGAUAAAGCUCUGCAGAGCUAUCUAUCUUAGCCUCUGCACUUACCUAGCCCAUCUGGUACCUCAAGAUCUCCCCAAGCAAGGAUUCAAUGAAACUGAUGAAGCUCCUGGGUUGCCAUGGAGAUGCAAGGAUACAUCUAACUGGAAACCAGGAGCCAAGCUGGAGACUUUGCUCUACAAUCAUUUCCUUCCCCGGCUCAUUUUCUAAUCCAAACAUUUGAGGAUGAGGUAUCUGGGUCCUUAUUUAAGCCAUCAACUGGAAAGCAGUCAUCGUCCCCGACACCUCAGCAAAGCACAGAGAUUUCCGCAGCCAUAAUAAAGGUCAGGAGAGGAAGAGACAGAGUUAUCUAAAUCCACAGCUGUAUCCAGGUUCAUGAAGAAUGGCAGAUUGAGUCUUGAGAAGCCAGUGGAGAACAAGAUGAAGGCAACACGUGUGCUGUUAUUUCUUCUUUCCUCCAUCCCUCUUCCUUUCCUGUUACAACAACAACAGUAAUCACAGCAAGUAAAAACAGCAAGCCUGUGACCCCUCUGAACCGAUGGUAUCCAUCCCUCAACAGACGCUCCUCCCACUCCCAGACAAUCUCUCCAGUUCUUUUUAUGCAUAAAUGAAGGAGCUUAGACCAGGCAGGCUCUAUGGCUGUGAAGCUCAUUGGUAGAAGCUGGCCUGUGUCUGAUUGCCUCCCUCCCCCCUUAGGAAGAAGGAAGAGUAAGAUUUCUCUUCUGGAACCUCUAGGCCUAUUUCUUUUAAUAAAAGAACAGCAAGUAUG